rnacentral:rRNA from 1 species
GAACUCAUCUUUGGUGUUAAGGUGGUAGCUGUGAAUAGCCAUCGACUACCUGGAAAAGGUAGAAGAAUAGGACCUAUUCUGGGCCAUACAAUGCAUUACAGACGUAUGAUCAUUACCCUUCAACCGGGUUAUUCUAUUCCACUUCUAGAUAGAGAAAAAAACUAA